UACGUACGAGGCGAGCGUUAUCCGGAAUUACUGGGCGUAAAGCGCGCGCAGGCGGACCAUUAAGUUGGGCGUGAAAUCUCCCGGCCUAACUGGGAGGGGUCGCCCAAGACUGGUGGUCUUGAGGACAGCAGAGGUGGGUGGAAUUCCUGGUGUAGUGGUGAAAUGCGUAGAGAUCAGGAGGAACACCGGUGGCGAAGGCGGCCCACUGGACCGCAACUGACGCUGAGGCGCGAAAGCUAGGGGAGCAAACAGG
rnacentral:rRNA from 1 species